UACGGAGGGUGCAAGCGUUAUCCGGAUUUAUUGGGUUUAAAGGGUGCGUAGGCGGUUUGAUAAGUCAGCGGUGAAAUAUUUCAGCUUAACUGGAAGGGUGCCGUUGAUACUGUCGAGCUUGAAUUUAGUUGCUGUGGGUGGAAUGUGUGGUGUAGCGGUGAAAUGCAUAGAUAUCACACAGAAUAUCGAUUGCGAAGGCAGCUCACAAAGCUAAUAUUGACGCUGAUGCACGAAAGUGUGGGGAUCAAAC
rnacentral:rRNA from 1 species